UCCGCGGUAGCUCAAUGGUAGAGCAGGUGACUGUUAAUCACCGGGUUGUAGGUUCGAAUCCUACCCGCGGAG
rnacentral:tRNA from 1 species